UAAAAUCAACUUUAAAUGACCUUCUACGACAUCCCUAUAUUUAUAGUAGUAUCUUUGGUCAUCCAUAUUAUGCCUAUAGUUUAAUUUGAAAACUUGAAUAUUAUAAUUACAUAGCUGGUUAGUAACAUUUUAAAUCUAUUUCUUCAUUGUACUUUUAUAUUAUAGUCUGCUUUAUAGUAAGUUUUCCUUUGUAUUUUCCUUUUUAGUUUCACUUCUGGUUUACAGUAUUAAUAUUUUCCAAUUGAUUUACACUUUAAAUAGACCAUUAUUAUAUUUGUCAGCUCUGGUUAAAUAUUUUUUAUAAUAUUUUGAUCACUCUUGUUUUAAAAGUUAAGAAUUAUAUACUAUUUAAGUUAGGGCCUUGUUCAAGAAAUUCAGUCAAAAAGUGAGUAACUAUUGUACACUGAGUGACACGGAAAUUUCAAUUUUGUAGUUGUACGUGAUUUCAUUCUAUAAUACACACAAUUUAGAUACCGUUAUCUAGGUUUUCAUUCUUUAUGCACUAUUUAGAAAAAUUAACAAGUAAUUAAAAUCCAUUAACUUCACCAGGGCAGGAGUGAGGGACCUCAAAAAUCUGCAAGCUUCCCAGGCCACCCUGGCUGUCUGAAGGGCCUAACUUUAGGGCAGUAGAGAAACCAGGGAAGGGAGUUAAUUUCCUACUAUAGAAAAACACUGCUCACUACAAACUUUAUAUAUAUCAUCAGCCUCAUCACAUUUUCGUGUUCUUUACAGGAAAUAUAGAACCUAUGUUUUUAAUAUAUAACUCAAUACCAUUCAAGUCUAGUCCAAGUGAUACUUGCACUUCUCAAGGCAAAAUUAAGUGCCCUAACUCUGCCUAGAUACAGCACAGAUGUUAGUCCCACUAUUUACUCCUUAUUUCAUUCUUCCCUUAAUCAGAGAGCUUUAGACAUCAAGUUCCCCCACUAUACCAAACUCCAAGUGUUUACUCAUCAUUGCAAACCAAAUGAGGCUUUGCCUAUAACAGGCCUUCAGUAAACAUUUAAUGAAUGAAAGUUACUUUAUUCUAAAAACAAUGUUCAGAGUCCCCAUAUUUGAAAAUGUAUCUUCAUCCAUCCCUUGAAAUUUAUUAAAAGAUUAGGUUAAUAGAUGUAUACAUUCUAUAAAACUGACUAAAUUUACUGAAGUGUUGUUUUCCUUUCAUAAAGAUGACACUGCUCUACAAAAUUAAGAGUACUUUCUCAGUUGCGCAGCAAUAAGACAAAAGUUCUGUUGUAACAAAAUUCAAUGUUUAAUUUUUCAAAACUUAACUAUAUUAAAGAAAAUAAAUUAUAUUUAGACCACCUUCAAUAUUUGUACAUCAUCUUUAUACAACUAUAACAGUGCUUUCAAAAGACACUUUGUAAAGGGCAUUAAUUUCACAAUUAAAAUGUGUUUUAAAAAUGGGAGAACAUUAAAGUACAUUAAAUUAGUCUGAAAUGUAUCUCAUAAUGCCGAGAGGUAUGUUGUUCUUUAACAAAUUAACUGUAUUUGUAUUCAAAAUAACAUAGCUUGUAACUACAGACAAUUAUUUCUUGUCCAUUUCAGUGAUUUCCUGGAUCCAAAACAAAAUCUGUGUAUUUAUUUCUUUGAAAACAUCAUUUGUUGACCGUCCUUUCACUGCCAUGGAAUGACUUGCUUUCUCAAUCCAGUGGAUUUUAUUAGGAGCUUGCAUUUUCUGUGCCACUUUCUCCAACAAGUUCUAAAGGGAAAAAAGAAGAGGAUACUAGACUAAUGUUCUACUGGUGUUCAGUAAAGAUUUCCUCUCUCCCACCACACCUAUACUGGCAUCCAUUCACUAAAUAUUAAAACCUAGUCUACAGCUAACUUUUGAGGCAAUGGAACGUGCAAGAAGUGGCAGUCCAUGUUUUUCAGAUACAGCAUACAGCAACACAACAGAACAGAUUAGGCAUUCAUUACUGAUGCUAAAAGGUCAUUAAGUAAACUAGAGCCAAAAAAAUUCUCUUAAAAAAUGUUUUCCCGAAGGAAAUUAUUUAUAUGCUCUGGGAAAUACACUAAAAUUUUGUAAUAUGUACAAGUUACUUUUUUUUCAAGAGUCAACUUUAUAACAAAUUGAAGAGAUCUGCUUAAAUGUUGAAAUGAUAAACCAAACGUACAGUCUAGUAAUCCGAAAUUCACAAGAUUCAGAUAUUAAUCCUUCAUUUUCUACGUGAGAGUUAAUCCAUUUACCAACACUCUUUACAGGGGGAUGAAUAUUGUCAGUAUGCUUAUAUUUUUAGGUUCUCCAAAGCAACAGGGUUAACUAAGGAAAAAAACUAGCAUUAGUAAAAUCAGCAUCUUUUUUAAAAUAAUUAAUUAAUUUAUUUAUUUAUUUACUUUUGGCCACAGCAUGUGGGAUCUUAGUUCCCCAACCAGGGAUCAAACGUGCACCCCCGGCAUUGGAAGCGCAGAGUCUUAACCACUGGACCACCGGGGAAGUCCCUAAAAUCAGCAUCUUUUUAAAGAGACUGAAUGUUGCAGGCCUUUACAGGUAAAUCUCAGGCUAAAAAAACCAUGAGAUGCAAGAUGGGAUGCCAGUGACAUCAAAUGAGGAAGAUUCAUAUCUCCUGAUGCUCCAUGUGUAAGAAUUAUUCCAUAUGUUAAGCUCUUGUUAGGUACCAAACAAACAGCAUCUAGUAAUUUAUUUCCAAAAGGUAUUUUUAAUUUAACCUGGAAUUCAAGAGAAUAAAUGGAUCAAAAAUUACUUCCUUGCCUAUUCAGACAAAUGAAUAACUAUAUAUGUUUGUUCUGCAAGACCCAUGAUUCAAGUCACAGCCUCCAAAUAAAAAGCAAUGAUAUUAAUAAUAACUAAUACUUAAGAAAUACUUAUUAUGUCAGGUACUAUUAUAACCGCUUUAUAUGUAUUAAAUCAUUUAACAUUCCUAAGAAUUCUAAGAGGCAAGUACUGUUACUAUCUCCAUUUUAUAGCUGAGAAAACUGAGGCACAGUAGCUUACAUAAUGUGCCCAAGGUUAUAUAUCCAAUUAGCUAGGAUCCAAACUCAGGCAGUCUGCUCCAAAGUCCUCACUCUUAACCACUAAUGCUAUGCUGUCUCUCACAGUACAAGAUGAAAAUAAGAAAAUUACUCUGGAGCCAUAUGACUACAAAAAAAAAAAAGGAACCUUGAAGAUGCAGAAUGUAUGAAAAUAUGUAUUACCUCUGUAUGACUCAUUUUCACUGUUGAAUAACAAACUUAAAGUGCAUUACAUCUGAGAAGCAAAGGACAUCUCCCUGAAAAGAAGAUUCUGUUGUGAAAGCCUGGGUUCCAGAAUGAAGACACAUGGAGCAGACCAGAACCCAAAACUAAAGUCCGGAGUCCAGCCUAGUCCAACCAACAUCUAAACCACUGAAGAACCAUGAAGUGUCUACCUGAAGAACCAAGAGCAUGAAAUGCAGGGAGCCAGAGAUUUCAGGGUUGUUAUGCAGCAUUCCUUCCUAUAGUAUGAGAUCUUUUAUUGUUCAGGAUAUCAUCAACGUCAGGAUCUCCAUUGUUCAUCUUUUUUCCCAUUAACAUUUACUAAUUCAUUCACUGAAUAGAUAAUAACAUGGUCCAAAGUUAAAAAGGUACAAAAAUAUACAGUGGAAAGUCUCUCCCUCAUUCCACUUUUGCCUUACCAUCCAGAUCCUCUCUUCAAAGGCAACCAAUAUUCUGCUAUCUUUCAGAUAUUUUAUAUAUAUACCUACAGACACACACAUCUCCUUUUGCUUUUUAUAAACUGGUGACCUACUUUUCUGAACCCCCCCCAUAUGUAUCUUGGUGAUUACUCAUUUCCUUAUACAACAAGCUUCUUGUUUUUUUUAUGGCUAUAGAAUAUUCCAAGGAAGCAUUGUACAUUAUUUUACCAACCAUCUAUCAAUUAAAAUGAGAUUGUUUCCAAUCUUUUGCUAAAACCA